AAAUAUGUCGUCACAUACACAGAAGUGUUCGAUCAGCUUUUAUUGUUUUGUUUCCUGUUUCAUUUGAUGUGUUUGGCCCUGACUCAUCAGCUGUUUGUCUGUUGAUGUUUAUUAGCAGGCGCGUUCAAGUUGAACUCCAGAGGGGUAUUGCACAAAAGUAGAAUCAGGCAAGCGCGGCUUGAUCUGCUCGGCGCAUCCUGGAUUAAUUGGUUGCAAGUUUGCCGAGCCAGGAUGAAAAGGCGCGGCUACGUCAAGCCAGGUGUAGGUGGGAUAAGUGCGUGUUCACGGCAUACUUAAAUAGACCUCACCUCGCUCACAGAAUCAUCGAUGGGAACAUGGAUAAGAGUCGCGCUUCAUAUUUCACGGCUGCUGAACAACAGCUCCUGAUGGAGUUCUAUGAAGAGGAUCCAAGCAGCCAGGAGAAAUGACUGCCAAAUAAACCCUCAGGCGGUGCAGGCACUGAAACCGAGAUUUCAGAAGGCUGGAGGUCAUCUCUAUUCGAGCCCUUGUCUUGCUGUGUGCAUGGCUGUAGGCCUGCUGUGGUGGGGUUUGGGGGUCUGCAUGGGGAGUCAAGACGAAUGACUCGCAGGCAUAACCUUGUCUCCCAGCAGCACACCAGAGAAUUUGCCUGAUAAUGCAAGAUAUCAUUUAGAAAACUACACAGCAGAGUUAAACACUCAUGAUGUCCAAGGUGCUUACAGUACAAAUAAAAUGUGUGGCUUACCUUGUGAAAGUCUCUCGUAAAUUGCCUCUGAAUUGCUGACAAGGCAGUCGGCAUCACAGAUCAUCUGAAAUGUGAAGUUGUAACCUAUUAAGGUCAUUUAAUGCACAGAAUUAAUUUAUGUAGGUCAUAGUAACCACAAAUCACUCUUACCUGAACAGUGAUGCUGUGGAAGGAUUUCCUGUUAAUGUGAUCUCCCUCGUGUUCUCCUGAGGGGCGUUUGAUCCUGAUGUGUGUGCAAUCCACUGCACCAAUGAUUUUAGGGAAAGCUGUAACGAAAAAUAGUGAGUAUCUAACUGCGACUGAUCUAAUUAGACGCUAAUGGUUGCACUUUGAAAUUGAGGUUACCUGCAAUCUUGUAAAACUCCUUAAUGUGGAGGGGUCUUCUGUGGCCAAGGAAGGUGAUGAAUAUGUUGAUGAAUGACUUCAGCUCCAGACAAACACGUGUUAUUGUGCAGCAAAUGGUUCCUUUUAUUGAGGUAUCUACAUCUCCAACAGAAUAAAGGAAGCUCCCACUUGCAAAAAAUCUCAAUGUAAUACAGACUAUCUGUGGUACAGUGAGAGCAUGGCUUCGUAUAUAUAGCCCUUGUCACAGAUUUAAUUGAAAACACCUUUGCAACUUCAACAUAUGCAUGGACUUUUAAUAUGCAGAUGCAACAUACUUAGAAAGACCAUGGACAUAAUGUAAAACAUUAAUUCCACACAGGAUUGACGGUGGAAAUACAGGUAAAUCUCUAGGAUUAAUCCCAGCCUGGUCUGGAGCAGACUAGCUGCAGAGAAUAAAUCACCAUAGUAACUUGGCCGGGUUAAGCUUGACCUGCUUUCAUGCAACCGACUUGAGCCCAGCUUAAUCCCUUAUCUUGGUUUUGUGCAAUACCCCUCUGCUGACUGACUGCAGGGGCAGAGCUACAAACGCUGCGAUCAGUUUUCUUUCCUGAUGCUAUGGGAACUUUGCUGGUCUUUUUCUCAUAUUAAUCUCCUUCAGAAAUGAUUCAAUCUGAGAUGUUCAAAAUAGUUGUCUACCAAAACAUGUAGGAUGAGGGAACAGAGCAGUGGAACUGCUGCCGUGUUGCAUGCAGACGACCCAUGUCAAGCCUGUCUUUUGCAGAGGGCGCAUUUAUCUGAUAAGUUGUAUGGACAGUUCAUAUUUAGAGACAACAGAAUGUGACAGCUUUGUCACAAUAACAACUUCGAAUUUGGAUAUUUUAUAACUGCUUCACUUCAAUGGUCACAAAGUGGCGCAUCAAGAGUAGAUGAAAAGCUUAAAUGUCGUCUUACUGUAAAUGCUCAUGUUCUGUUUUCCUUGUAAUGUCACCAUUAAAUACAUUUGAACUUUG